rnacentral:rRNA from 1 species
AGCAGCCGCGGUAAUUCCAGCUCCAAUAGCGUAUAUUAAAGUUGUUGCAGUUAAAAAGCCCGUAGUUGAAUUUCGGGAUCAGUACGCUGGUCAUGCCUUUGGUAUGCACUGGUGUCACUGGUUUCUCCCUUCUGAAGAACCGUGAUGUCAUUAAUUUGGUGUCGCGGGGAAUCAGGACUGUUACUUUGAAAAAAUUAGAGUGUUUAAAGCAGGCUCACGCUUGAAUACAUUAGCAUGGAAUAAUGAAAUAGGACGUUUGACCCUAUUUUGUUGGUUUCUAGGAUCGACGUAAUGAUUAAUAGGGAUAGUUGGGGGCAUUAGUAUUCAAUUGUCAGAGGUGAAAUUCUUGGAUUUAUUGAAGACUAACUACUGCGAAAGCAUUUGCCAAGGAUGUUUUCAUUAAUCAAGAACGAAAGUUAGGGGAUCGAAGACGAUCAGAUACCGUCGUAGUCUUAACCAUAAACUAUGCCGACUAGGGAUCGGAUGAUGUUAAUUUUAUAAUGACUC